rnacentral:rRNA from 1 species
CACGUGGAUAAUCUACCCUUGAGACUGGAAUAACUCGGUGAAAACCGGGAUAAUGCCGGAUAUGACUACGGGAGGCAUCUUCUGUAGUUAAAGGCGGGGACCCUUCGGGGCCUGUCACUCUUGGAUGAGUCCGCGUCCCAUCAGCUUGUUGGUAGGGUAACGGCCUACCAAGGCUAAGACGGGUAGCUGGUCUGAGAGGAUGAUCAGUCACACUGGCACUGAAACACGGGCCAGACUCCUACGGGAGGCAGCAGUGGGGAAUAUUGCGCAAUGGGCGAAAGCCUGACGCAGCGACGUCGCGUGAGGGAAGAAGGCUCUCGGGUCGUAAACCUCUGUCGGGGGGGAAGAAAUUCCUAACGGUUAAUAACCGUUAGGAUUGACGGUACCCCUAAAGGAAGCAUCGGCUAACUACGUGCCAGCAGCCGCGGUAAUACGUAGGAUGCAAGCGUUACUCGGAUUUAUUGGGUGUAAAGGGCUCGCAGGUGGUCCUGUAAGUCAUAGGUGAAAGCCCUCGGCUUAACCGAGGAAUUGCCUAUGAUACUGUAGGACUUGAGUACUGGAGAGGGAAGCGGAAUUCCUGGUGUAGCGGUGAAAUGCGUAGAUAUCAGGAGGAACACCGGUGGCGAAGGCGGCUUCCUGGACAGAUACUGACACUGAGGAGCGAAAGCGUGGGUAGCAAACAGGAUUAGAUACCCUGGUAGUCCACGCCCUAAACGAUGG